UAUGAACAAGAGAUAGAAUAGGAAACGCAUAUCAAAGUUGGUAUACCCCAUGAUAUUAGCAAUUAAAGAGUCCAACAGAUUUGGUAAAUCAAGGAUAUAAUAAGAGUCCAAAUAAGUUGUCAUACAAGAUAAGUCCAGUUGAAUUCUAUAAAGAAUCCCACAAUAUUAGGAGUCAUAAAACUAUAUAUAUCCAAACUUUAUUAAAGGAGAUUGAUA
rnacentral:lncRNA from 1 species